GUCCAUCCCGUUGGAGAGGAGAGUCCUGACCAUGCUACAAUGGCUUCAUCUGCCAGACGGAGAGAGGCCGUAUGUUUACGCCAUGCACUCCGAGCAGCCGGACACGUUUGGCCACAAGCUGGGGCCCAUGAGCACUGAGCUGAACAACCCUCUGAAGGAGAUUGAUAAGAUAAUUGGUCAGCUGAUGGACGGCCUGAAACAGAUGAAACUCCACCGAUGUGUCAACAUCAUCAUGGUGGGAGAUC